AACGCACCUUGCGCUCCUUGGCAUUCCGAGGAGCAUGCCUGUUUGAGUGUCAUUAAAUCCUCAACCCCAUCUCCUUUGUGGUGAUCGGUGUUGGAUAUGGGAGCUGCUGGCUUACAAGUCGGCUCUUCUCAAAUGCAUUAGCAGGGCCACGCCACUGCAGCUUGGUAUUGAUAGUUGUCUUACCAGGCAAGCAGGUUAGCAAUGUGUCCAGCUUCUAGUCGUCUCUCUGAGACAAUCUUUGACGAUUUGACCUCAAAUCAGGUAGGACUACCCGCUGAACUUAA
rnacentral:misc_RNA from 1 species